GACGAACGCUGGCGGCGUGCUUAACACAUGCAAGUCGAGCGGAGCGGCGAACGGGUGAGUAACGCGUGAGUAACUGCCCCCCUCUCUGGGAUAACAGUUGGAAACGGCUGCUAAUACCGGAUAGUGGGGGAUGACUCGGGGCCUAUCAGCUUGUUGGGGGGGUAGUGGCCUACGAAGGGGACGACGGGUAGCCGGCCUGAGAGGUGGACCGGCCACAUGGGGCUGAGAUACGGCCCAGACUGCUACGGGAGGCAGCAGUGGGGAAUAUUGCACAAUGGGGCAAAGCCUGAGUCAGAAACGCCGCGUGCGGGAUGCCGGCCUUCGGGUUGUAAACCGCUUUCAGCCAUGACGCGGUAGUGGCAGAAGAAGCACCGGCUAACUACGUGCCAGCAGCCGCGGUAAUAC
rnacentral:rRNA from 1 species